rnacentral:rRNA from 1 species
CAGUCGCCGCGGUAAUACGAGGGAGGCAAGCGUUGUUCGGAUUUAUUGGGCGUAAAGGGUGCGUAGGCGGUUUGGCAAGUCUUGUGUGAAAUCUUCGGGCUCAACCCGAAGCCUGCACGAGAAACUACCGGGCUUGAGUAUUGGAGAGGUGAGUGGAAUUUCCGGUGUAGCGGUGAAAUGCGUAGAUAUCGGAAGGAACACCUGUGGCGAAAGCGGCUCACUGGACAAUAACUGACGCUGAUGCACGAAAGCUAGGGGAGCAAACAGGAUUAGAUACCCGCGUAGUCCCUGUCUCUUAUAC